rnacentral:rRNA from 1 species
CCUACGGGAGGCAGCAGUGGGGAAUUUUGCACAAUGCGCGAAACACUGAUGCAGCGACGCCGCGUGAGUGAUGACGGCCUUCGGGUUGUAAAGUUCUGUCUUCAGGGACGAAAAUGCCGGUACCUGAGGAGGAAGCCACGGCUAACUACGUGCCAGCAGCCGCGGUAUUACGUAGUUGGCGAGAGUUGUCCGGAUUGACUGGGCGUAAAGGGUGCGUAGGCGGUUUUUUAAGUGAGAUGUGAAAUACUUGGGCUCAACUUUAGUACUGCAUUUCAUACUGGAAGUCUAGAGUGCAGGAGAGGAGAAUGGAAUUCCUAGUGUAGCGGUGAAAUGCGUAGAUAUUAGGAAGAACACCAGUGGCGAAGGCGAUUCUCUGGACUGUAACUGACGCUGAGGUGCGAAAGCGUGGGGAGCAAACAGGAUUAGAUACCCCUGUAGUC